ACGGGUGAGUAACGCGUGGGAACCUACCCAGAACUUCGGAAUAACACAUGGAAACGUGUGCUAAUACCGGAUACGCCCUACGGGGGAAAGAUUUAUCGGUUUUGGAUGGGCCCGCGUAAGAUUAGCUAGUUGGUGAGGUAAUGGCUCACCAAGGCGACGAUCUUUAGCUGGUCUGAGAGGAUGAUCAGCCACACUGGGACUGAGACACGGCCCAGACUCCUACGGGAGGCAGCAGUGGGGAAUAUUGGACAAUGGGCGCAAGCCUGAUCCAGCCAUGCCGCGUGAGUGAUGAAGGCCUUAGGGUUGUAAAGCUCUUUCAGUAGGGAAGAUAAUGACGGUACCUACAGAAGAAGCCCCGGCUAACUUCGUGCCAGCAGCCGCGGUAAUACGAAGGGGGCUAGCGUUGUUCGGAUUUACUGGGCGUAAAGCGCACGUAGGCGGAUCGUUAAGUUAGGGGUGAAAUCCUGGAGCUCAACUCCAGAACUGCCUCUAAUACUGGCGGUCUAGAGUCCGGAAGAGGUGAGUGGAACUCCUAGUGUAGAGGUGGAAUUCGUAGA
rnacentral:rRNA from 1 species